UACGUAGGUGGCGAGCGUUAUCCGGAUUUAUUGGGUUUAAAGGGUGCGUAGGCGGGUAUUUAAGUCGGUGGUGAAAGGUAGCAGCUCAACUGUUUUACAUGCUGCCGAUACUGAAUAUCUUGAGUUAUGAGAAGGCAGAUAGAAUUUCUGGUGUAGCGGUGAAAUGCUUAGAUACCAGAAGGAAUACCGAUUGCGAAGGCAGUCUGCUGCACAUAUACUGACGCUGAGGCACGAAAGUAUGGGGAUCAAACAGG
rnacentral:rRNA from 1 species